rnacentral:tRNA from 1 species
GCUCCGGUGAUGCAAUGGCAUGGAGCAUUCCCACACGGUCAAAGGGAGGUGCGGGUUCGAGUCCCGCCUGGCGCA